UACGUAGGGACCAAGCGUUGUCCGGAAUCAUUGGGCGUAAAGAGCUCGUAGGCGGCUUGUUGCGUCGACUGUGAAAACCUGCGGCUCAACCGUGUGGUCUGCAGUCGAUACGGGCAGGCUGGAGUUCGGUAGGGGAGACUGGAAUUCCUGGUGUAGCGGUGAAAUGCGCAGAUAUCAGGAGGAACACCGGUGGCGAAGGCGGGUCUCUGGGCCGAUACUGACGCUGAGGAGCGAAAGCGUGGGGAGCGAACAGG
rnacentral:rRNA from 1 species